AUUGAACGCUGGCGGCAUGCUUUACACAUGCAAGUCGAACGGUAACAGGCCGCAAGGUGCUGACGAGUGGCGGACGGGUGAGUAAUGCAUCGGAACGUGCCCAGUCGUGGGGGAUAACUACUCGAAAGAGUACCUAAUACCGCAUACGAUCUAUGGAUGAAAGCGGGGGACCGUAAGGCCUCGCGCGAUUGGAGCGGCCGAUGUCAGAUUAGGUAGUUGGUGGGGUAAAGGCUUACCAAGCCAACGAUCUGUAGCUGGUCUGAGAGGACAACCAGCCACACUGGGACUGAGACACGGCCCAGACUCCUACGGGAGGCAGCAGUGGGGAAUUUUGGACAAUGGGCGCAAGCCUGAUCCAGCAAUGCCGCGUGCAGGAAGAAGGCCUUCGGGUUGUAAACUGCUUUUGUACGGAACGAAACGGCUCUGGUUAAUACCCGGGGCUAAUGACGGUACCGUAAGAAUAAGCACCGGCUAACUACGUG
rnacentral:rRNA from 1 species